UGUAAACUUCCUUUGUCAAUCUAUGGAUAUGCCCAUAUAUGAAAGAGAUGGGUGGGUCAAAAAGGGAUAUCAAAUGAAGUGAUAGGGGUCACAAUGGGGAAAUGGAAGUGGUACAUAACAUUGCCAAAAUAAUGUGCCACUAGAAAUGGUGUAAAGGCUGUCUUUUUUUUUAAGAAAAGUUAUUACCAUGUAUUUUGUGAGGCAGGUUUACAACACUACAAGUCUUGACUAAGAAGGAAAGAGGAAAAAAGAAAAAACACCAAUACCCAUAUUUAAAAAAAAAAAAAUGAUCAUAGUCUUAGGAGUUCAUUUAAACCAUAGGAACUUUUCACUUAUCUCAUGUUAGGUGUACCAGUCAGUGAUUAAGUAGAACUACAAGUUAUAUAGGCUGUAUUGUUUAUUGCUGGUUUAUGACCUUAAUAAAGUGUAAUUAUGUAUUACCAGCAGGGUGUUUUUAACUGUGACUAUUGUAUAAAAACAAAUCUUGAUAUCCAGAAGCACAUGAAGUUUGCGACUUUCCACCCUGCCCAUUUUUGUAAAACUGCAGUCAUCUUGGACCUUUUAAACACAAAUUUUAAACUCAACCAAGCUGUGAUAAGCGGAAUGGUUACUGUUUAUACUGUGGUAUGUUUUUGAUUACAGCAGAUAAUGCUUUCUUUUCCAGUCAUCUUUGAGAAUAAAGGAAAAAAAAAAUCUUCAGAUGCAAUGGUUUUGUGUAGCAUCUUGUCUAUCAUGUUUUGUAAAUGCUGGAGAAGCGUCGACCAAUUUGACUUAGAGAUGGAAUGUAACUUUGCUUACAAAAAUUGCUAUUAAACUCCUACUUAAGGUGUUCUAAUUUUCUGUGAGCACACUAAAA
rnacentral:lncRNA from 1 species